rnacentral:rRNA from 1 species
CCUACGGGGGGCAGCAGUGGGGAAUAUUGGACAAUGGGGGCAACCCUGAUCCAGCCAUGCCGCGUGUGUGAAGAAGGCCCUCGGGUUGUAAAGCACUUUCAGUGAGGAAGAACGCCUGGUGGUUAAUACCCAUCAGGAAAGACAUCACUCACAGAAGAAGCACCGGCUAACUCCGUGCCAGCAGCCGCGGUAAUACGGAGGGUGCGAGCGUUAAUCGGAAUUACUGGGCGUAAAGCGCGCGUAGGUGGCUUGAUAAGCCGGUUGUGAAAGCCCCGGGCUCAACCUGGGAACGGCAUCCGGAACUGUCAAGCUAGAGUGCAGGAGAGGAAGGUAGAAUUCCCGGUGUAGCGGUGAAAUGCGUAGAGAUCGGGAGGAAUACCAGUGGCGAAGGCGGCCUUCUGGACUGACACUGACAGUGAGGUGCGAAAGCGUGGGUAGCAAACAGGAUUAGAUACCCUAGUAGUC